UUUGGGUUCCCUGGGAAAACUGGACAGCUUUGAUCUUAACUGAGGAAAAUUGACAGAAAUUGACAGUACAGAUCUCCUGGUGUGAACACUUUUUGUUGUGAGAAGGAAUCAACUCCAGGCUUAAACAGAACAUCCAAGGUCUCCUCCCAUGGCAGUGAUCAGCCUGGUAACACAGCCAAGGUGCAACUCUAAGGAUGGACUCAUCAUCUCCUGGGCUGUCUGAGACAUGCUUGUUCUGAAGCCUAUCAACAUAUUUAAGUACUGUAAAAUACAGUGUGUGUUGGUUUUCAGCAUCUCAUGAAUAUGAGUAAGAAUGAAGAAUGCUUAUGAGGAAGAAUUCUUGUUCUGUUAGUAAAAAAUAUUGGGGCAUUGUCAGCAAUGGCAUAGAUAACUUGGGAUUGAAGCCUGAAAUGGCAGCUUUCACUGUAUAACAACAACUUGUGGAUGAAGCAUGUGACUCUCACCCUAUUCUGUCCGAAAUUUGCUUUAUUUCUCAGUGUUUUGUUGUUCAACAUUCAAAAUUGAUUUGAUGUAACAGCAAACAAUAUAUGUGUAUUUUAUAUAUUGCAUUUCAGGCAAGAGGAGAGGAAAACAACACUGGUCAGAGUAUGAAGCAGUGAAAUAGAACUGAAGAAAUAUGAAAUAGCUUUGAUAGCUGCUUGCCCAACAGAUGUAAACCAUCAUGCACUGAGGGCUGCUAUCUGAACUAUUUUAUGAUUUAUGCAUUGUGGAAUGGUUUAUGAUUUAAAGUUUUCACAAGCCUGUCUUAAAA